rnacentral:rRNA from 1 species
GUGAGGAAUAUUGCACAAUGGAGGAAACUCUGAUGCAGCAACGCCGCGUGGAGGAUGACGCAUUUCGGUGUGUAAACUCCUUUUAAGAGGGAAGAUUAUGACGGUACCUCUUGAAUAAGCACCGGCUAACUCCGUGCCAGCAGCCGCGGUAAUACGGAGGGUGCAAGCGUUACUCGGAAUCACUGGGCGUAAAGGGUGCGUAGGCUGACUUUUAAGUCAGGCGUGAAAUCCAAUGGCUUAACCAUUGAACUGCGCUUGAAACUGGGAGUCUAGAGUUCAGAAGGGGCAGAUGGAAUUAGUGGUGUAGGGGUAAAAUCCGUAGAUAUCACUAGGAAUAUCAAAAGCGAAGGCGAUCUGCUGGGAUGAUACUGACGCUGAGGCACGAAAGCGUGGGGAGCAAACAGGAUUAGAAACCCCAGUAGUCC